AUGGGGUCUUGUUAUGUUGCCAGGUGCCUGGAACUCCUGUGUUCAAGCAGUCCUCCCACUUCAGCCUCCCAAGCAGCUGGGACUACAGGUGCCCACCACCAUGCCCAGCUUGUUUCCUCAUCUUUAAAUAGGGAAAUAAGACCUACCUUUCAGGAAUGUUGUGGAGAGAGAUUCAUACAGAAUCGCAUCUGCAUAGAACUGCAAUGAACCUCUCCAUCAUCCAUCACCAUCUUCGGCAAGGUGUGGAUCUUAGCCUGGUGGUAGAAUGUGAAGAUGAGGACCUCAUCCAGGUCCUUCCUUCCUGGGGUGCUCUGCCUCAGCCCUAGAGGCUGUCCCUUACGUCUGCUGUAAUUGUAUUCUUUAGCGUUUUCUUUUCCCUUUACUAGGUAAUCCCCUCUUACACACAGUACUUUUUUAUAUUAAAAUUUCCUUGUCCAAAUUAUUGUGUGGUUUCUGUAUCCUGAGUAAACCCUGACCAAUACAUGGCUAUACCAAUUUAUACUUCUACCUGCAAUGUGUGAGAGCUCCAGUUCCUCCACAGGCAAUUAUUUUAAAGCCUUUGUCUACCAACCACAACAUCUGGAUGAUCUGUGUGUCUUCUUCUAUUGUCUGUUUUUUUCUCUUGCUUAUCAAUGAUAUUUUCAUGCCUCUUCACAAGUCUACUUAUUUUUUACUAUAUGUAGACAUUAUAUAUAAGAGGCAUAGAGACUCCAGAUGAUAUAAUUUGCCACACAGUGUUCCCUCUUUCUUCUGUUAAGCAGAUGGGAGUAAGGAAUGAUCGCAUCAGUCCAGUGAAGGACUGAAGUGGGUUGAGACUGGGUUUUGGUUUUUGGAAUCUAUCUAUCUCAAGUCCAUCUCUGGUUUGCCCCUAUACCUGACAUGUGGAUUUUGGGUGAGUGCCUUGCCGGGUUUCUGGAUCCUCAGCCAUGAAAGACUAUGGAGAUUCAGCUCUGCUUUUCAGAGGUUCCCAGUCCAGCUUCCAGACUGUCUCCAUGGAGCUUCAAGAUCUGGCCAAUGUCUUGAGGUGGGAACUGGCUCUGUGUUUGGGGAAGGCCCUUCCUUCUUGGGAAACUUUCAUUUUCUAAGCACUGUGGGACUAUAGAAUAUUUCAACCUUUUUUUUUUUUUUUUGAAAUAGGGUCUUGCUCUGUUGGCCAGGCUGGAGUGCAGUGGCGCAAUCAGAGCUCACUGCAGCCUUGACCUCCCCAGCUCAAGUGAUUCUUUCAUGUCAGCCUCCCGAGUAGCUAGGACCACAGGUGCGCACCACUACGUCUGGCUAAGUUUUAUUUUUUCUUUGUAGAGAUGGAGUCUCCUUGUGUUGCCCAGGUUGGUCUUGAACUCCUGGGCACAAGUGAUCCUCCCACCCUGGCCUCCCAAAGUGCUGGGAUUAUAAGCAUGGUCCACUGCAUCUGGCCCUAUUCUGCUUUUAGAUGCAUUCCUAGGUGCAGAACUCAGCAAAUGUCAGGUGCAGAAAAAUGGUUUUGUAUUUAAAGCUCCCAUGUUCUAAUUUGUCAUUCUAGCACCUGUAGCCACUAAAAGCUUUGCUGGUUUCCCUUUCCUCCAUUACAGGUCCUCCUGCUAGGCAAACUUGAUCAUUAGCGAGUGCCCCAAACUGACAGAUGCCCUGGGGAUGAGGG
ensembl:lncRNA